rnacentral:rRNA from 1 species
UACGUAGGGUGCGAGCGUUGUCCGGAAUUACUGGGCGUAAAGAGCUCGUAGGUGGUUUGUCGCGUUGUUCGUGAAAACUCACAACUCAAUUGUGGGCGUGCGGGCGAUACGGGCAGACUGGAGUACUGCAGGGGAGACUGGAAUUCCUGGUGUAGCGGUGGAAUGCGCAGAUAUCAGGAGGAACACCGGCGGCGAAGGCGGGUCUCUGGGCCGAUACUGACGCUGAGGAGCGAAAGCGUGGGGAGCGAACAGG